rnacentral:rRNA from 1 species
AUACGUAGGGAGCGAGCGUUGUCCGGAAUUACUGGGUGUAAAGGGAGCGUAGGCGGGACUGCAAGUCAGAUGUGAAAUACCGGGGCUUAACCCAUGGGCUGCAUUUGAAACUGCAUAUCUUGAGUGAAGUAGAGGUAAGCGGAAUUCCUGGUGUAGCGGUGAAAUGCGUAGAUAUCAGGAGGAACACCAGUGGCGAAGGCGGGUAACUGGACUGCAACUGACGCUGAGGCGCGAAAGUGUGGGGAGCAAACAGGAUUAGAUACCCUGGUAGUCCACACUGUAAACGAUGAAUGCUAGGUGUAGGAGGUAUCGACCCCUUCUGUGCCGCAGUAAACACAGUAAGCAUUCCGCCUGGGGAGUACGGUCGCAAGAUUAAAACUCAAAUGAAUUGGCGGGG